AACGAACGCUGGCGGCAUGCCUAACACAUGCAAGUCGAACGAGACCUUCGGGUCUAGUGGCGCACGGGUGCGUAACGCGUGGGAAUCUGCCCUUCGGUUUGGAAUAACUGAGAGAAAUUUCAGCUAAUACCAUAUAAUGUCUUCGGACCAAAGAUUUAUCGCCGAGGGAUGAGCCCGCGUAGGAUUAGGUAGUUGGUGGGGUAAUGGCCUACCAAGCCGACGAUCCUUAGCUGGUCUGAGAGGAUGAUCAGCCACACUGGGACUGAGACACGGCCCAGACUCCUACGCGAUGCAGCAGUGGGGAAUAGUGGACAGUGGGCGAAAGCCUGAUCCAGCAAUGCCGCGUGAGUGAUGAAAGCCUUAGGGUUGUAAAGCUCUUGUACCCGGGAUGAUAAUGACAGUACCGGGAGAAUAAGCUCCGGCUAACUCCGUG
rnacentral:rRNA from 1 species